CUGGCUUAAACGUUGGUAGGUGGUCAGGCUUUAUUGUGGCCGUCAAAACACCUACUUGUAGAUCUUUGUUGAUGUUCCCUUGUAACAAUACUCUUCGCAAAAAACACUUUUAAUCUAACUGGGUCACUCGCUUCAACCGUAUCUUGCAGGGAUUCUCAGGAUCUUGAGUAGCUUGCCAAGAAUCUGCUGCUGGUUUAACCCUGGAGUGAUGAAUCCACGGAGUCACCUUUGCCACCUUUAUACCUGUUGGAGUAGACAAAAGAACAGCAUAAGGACCCCUCCACUUUGGCCCCAACGGUACACUGUUCCACUCCUUUAUCCAAACUUGGUCUCCU